AGUUUGAUCCUGGCUCAGAUUGAACGCGGGCGGAAUGCUUUACACAUGCAAGUCGAGCGGCAGCGCGGGGCAACCUGGCGGCGAGCGGCGAACGGGUGAGUAACAUAUCGGAACGUACCCAGUCGUGGGGGAUAACUAUCCGAAAGGAUAGCUAAUACCGCAUACGACCUGAGGGUGAAAGGGGGGGAUCGCAAGACCUCUCGCGAUUGGAGCGGCCGAUAUCGGAUUAGCUAGUUGGUGAGGUAAAGGCUCACCAAGGCGACGAUGGCUAGGGGUUCUGAGAGGAUUAUCCCCCACACUGGUACUGAGACACGGACCAGACUCCUACGGGAGGCAGCAGUAAGGAAUAUUGGACAAUGGGCGCAAGCCUGAUCCAGCCAUGCCGCGUGCAGGAUGAAGCAUCUAUGGUGUGUAAACUGCUUUUGUACGAGAAGAAACAUCCCGACGUGUCGGGACUUGACGGUAUCGUAAGAAUAAGGAUCGGCUAACUCCGUGCCAGCAGCCGCGGUAAUACGGAGGAUCCAAGCGUUAUCCGGAAUCAUUGGGUUUAAAGGGUCCGUAGGCGGUCUUAUAAGUCAGUGGUGAAAUCUCCCCGCUCAACGGGGAAACGGCCAUUGAUACUGUAGGACUUGAAUUAUUAGGAAGUAACUAGAAUAUGUAGUGUAGCGGUGAAAUGCUUAGAGAUUACAUGGAAUACCAAUUGCGAAGGCAGGUUACUACUAAUGGAUUGACGCUGAUGGACGAAAGCGUGGGUAGCGAACAGGAUUAGAUACCCUGGUAGUCC
rnacentral:rRNA from 1 species